UACGUAGGGGGGCUAGCGUUGUCCGGAAUCAUUGGGCGUAAAGCGCGUGUAGGCGGUCCGGUAAGUCCGCUGUGAAAGUCGGGGGGCUCAACCCUCGAAUGCCGGUGGAUACUGUCGGGCUAGAGUGCGGAAGAGGCGAGUGGAAUUCCUGGUGUAGCGGUGAAAUGCGCAGAUAUCAGGAGGAACACCUAUUGCGAAGGCAGCUCGCUGGGACGUAACUGACGCUGAGACGCGAAAGCGUGGGGAGCAAACAGG
rnacentral:rRNA from 1 species